rnacentral:rRNA from 1 species
GACGAACGCUGGCGGCGUGCCUAAUACAUGCAAGUCGAACGAACUCUGGUAUUGAUUGGUGCUUGCAUCAUGAUUUACAUUUGAGUGAGUGGCGAACUGGUGAGUAACACGUGGGAAACCUGCCCAGAAGCGGGGGAUAACACCUGGAAACAGAUGCUAAUACCGCAUAACAACUUGGACCGCAUGGUCCGAGCUUGAAAGAUGGCUUCGGCUAUCACUUUUGGAUGGUCCCGCGGCGUAUUAGCUAGAUGGUGGGGUAACGGCUCACCAUGGCAAUGAUACGUAGCCGACCUGAGAGGGUAAUCGGCCACAUUGGGACUGAGACACGGCCCAAACUCCUACGGGAGGCAGCAGUAGGGAAUCUUCCACAAUGGACGAAAGUCUGAUGGAGCAACGCCGCGUGAGUGAAGAAGGGUUUCGGCUCGUAAAACUCUGUUGUUAAAGAAGAACAUAUCUGAGAGUAACUGUUCAGGUAUUGACGGUAUUUAACCAGAAAGCCACGGCUAACUACGUGCCAGCAGCCGCGGUAAUACGUAGGUGGCAAGCGUUGUCCGGAUUUAUUGGGCGUAAAGCGAGCGCAGGCGGUUUUUUAAGUCUGAUGUGAAAGCCUUCGGCUCAACCGAAGAAGUGCAUCGGAAACUGGGAAACUUGAGUGCAGAAGAGGACAGUGGAACUCCUUGUGUAGCGGUGAAAUGCGUAGAUAUAUGGAAGAACACAAGUGGCGAAGGCGGCUGUCUGGUCUGUAACUGACGCUGAGGCUCGAAAGUAUGGGUAGCAAACAGGAUUAGAUACCCUGGUAGUCCAUACCGUAAACGAUGAAUGCUAAGUGUUGGAGGGUUUCCGCCCUUCAGUGCUGCAGCUAACGCAUUAAGCAUUCCGCCUGGGGAGUACGGCCGCAAGGCUGAAACUCAAAGGAAUUGACGGGGGCCCGCACAAGCGGUGGAGCAUGUGGUUUAAUUCGAAGCUACGCGAAGAACCUUACCAGGUCUUGACAUACUAUGCAAAUCUAAGAGAUUAGACGUUCCCUUCGGGGACAUGGAUACAGGUGGUGCAUGGUUGUCGUCAGCUCGUGUCGUGAGAUGUUGGGUUAAGUCCCGCAACGAGCGCAACCCUUAUUAUCAGUUGCCAGCAUUAAGUUGGGCACUCUGGUGAGACUGCCGGUGACAAACCGGAGGAAGGUGGGGAUGACGUCAAAUCAUCAUGCCCCUUAUGACCUGGGCUACACACGUGCUACAAUGGAUGGUACAACGAGUUGCGAACUCGCGAGAGUAAGCUAAUCUCUUAAAGCCAUUCUCAGUUCGGAUUGUAGGCUGCAACUCGCCUACAUGAAGUCGGAAUCGCUAGUAAUCGCGGAUCAGCAUGCCGCGGUGAAUACGUUCCCGGGCCUUGUACACACCGCCCGUCACACCAUGAGAGUUUGUAACACCCAAAGUCGGUGGGGUAACCUUUUAGGAACCAGCCGCCUAAGGUGGGACAGAUGAUUAGGGUG